GGGGCCAUAGCUCAGUUGGGAGAGCGCGUGAAUGGCAUUCACGAGGUCAGGGGUUCGACUCCCCUUGGCUCCA
rnacentral:tRNA from 1 species